rnacentral:rRNA from 1 species
CGGGUGAGUAACACGUGAGUAACCUGCCCUUGACUUUGGGAUAACUUCAGGAAACUGGGGCUAAUACCGGAUAGGAGCUCCUGCUGCAUGGUGGGGGUUGGAAAGUUUCGGCGGUUGGGGAUGGACUCGCGGCUUAUCAGCUUGUUGGUGGGGUAGUGGCUUACCAAGGCUUUGACGGGUAGCCGGCCUGAGAGGGUGACCGGCCACAUUGGGACUGAGAUACGGCCCAGACUCCUACGGGAGGCAGCAGUGGGGAAUAUUGCACAAUGGGCGGAAGCCUGAUGCAGCAACGCCGCGUGCGGGAUGACGGCCUUCGGGUUGUAAACCGCUUUCGCCUGUGACGAAGCGUGAGUGACGGUAAUGGGUAAAGAAGCACCGGCUAACUACGUGCCAGCAGCCGCGGUGAUACGUAGGGUGCGAGCGUUGUCCGGAUUUAUUGGGCGUAAAGGGCUCGUAGGUGGUUGAUCGCGUCGGAAGUGUAAUCUUGGGGCUUAACCCUGAGCGUGCUUUCGAUACGGGUUGACUUGAGGAAGGUAGGGGAGAAUGGAAUUCCUGGUGGAGCGGUGGAAUGCGCAGAUAUCAGGAGGAACACCAGUGGCGAAGGCGGUUCUCUGGGCCUUUCCUGACGCUGAGGAGCGAAAGCGUGGGGAGCGAACAGGCUUAGAUACCCUGGUAGUCCACGCUGUAAACGGUGGGUACUAGGUGUGGGGUCCAUUCCACGGGUUCCG